CUUUUAAAGGCGUUACAAUAAUACCAUGUUGCUGAGGCUGUCUCGGGGAGGGCUUCCUAACUAUGCAUGCAGAUAAAAUGGCCUAGCAUACAUUUAGGUUUUCAUGGCCAAGUGGAGGAGAGCAUGAUGUGAGUAUUUUGAAGGUUUCCCACACACUGCUGGUGAUGAAUUGAUUUCCAACUUCCCAGAGAGCAAAACCCACAUGUAACAGGUACGAUAAAUCACCCAUGGCCUUUGACAUCACAUGUUAGUCAGUUGUUGCUACAGAACAAACGACCCCAAAGAGUCGAGAAAUAACACAUAUUUAUCACCACUCUCUGGGUCCCCAGCCCGGCUGAACAGUUCUUCUAGCUGCAGGUCUUUUGAUCGGCUGAGACAGCACCAUAGCUCUUGUCCUUCCUUCUGAGUUAGCAAUGUCAGAAGCCGUGCCAAACAGGUUCAUCCAGGUUUUCCUCGGCAGUGAGUCCACUCACAUCCUGUUGCUAAGUCAAAUUACAGGCUCACAGACAGCCCAAGCGGGGAGUUACAUGGGAGUCUGAGGAGAUGACUCAGUAAAGUGCUCUCUGCUAAGCCUGAGUACCUGAAGUCCCCCUCAUCCCUGCACCCAUCUCGUUCAGGUGGAAGGAGAAUUUGGUGUCACAAGUCUAUGUAACCCCAAUUCUGGAGCUGGGAGACAAGCAAGCAGAUGUAGGGUGCUCUCCAGCCAGCCAGCUUACUGAACCAGACAAUAUCGUUGAAUGGGGCCAAAUUACUUGAGCUGAAGUUCAAUGAGAGACCCUGUCUCAGAGAAUAAGGUAUAGGCUAAGAGAGAAAGACAGCUGGAGUUGAGCUCUGGCCUCCCUCUGUGCACACACAGAAGGGCAUACGUACAUACAAAUGGAUGAAGUGGGGUGGAAUGGCUCACUCAGACCAUGACAAGGAUUUAGAUAUAUUAUCCCAUCACACUAGUGUAAAGAAUCGAUACCAAUUCUCUCUACAGCACAGAAUAAUCCCAUUGGAAAUAAAUAUAUCCCAGAAAUAUACCAAAGGAGAAGGACAGCAUAGUUCCCAUAUAAUAUGGUGCAGCAAGUAUUUUUCAGACUACCUACUAAUAAGCUGGAUGUGGUGAUAAAUCCAUCUAACUCAGCUAAUAACUGAGCAAGGUGAUGUCCCUCCUGUCAAGAAAUAAGACAUAGUACAGGCUAUAAUCUUCCUCCCAAGUUGCUUUGAGUCAGCAGACAAGAACAAUAGUUUAUAUUGGCAUGUAAGCUGUUUUAUGCCGUGAUAAGAAUACCCCAAUGUUAGGGGCGUAAACAACAAAGAUUUGCUUACUGCUCCUGAGACGCAUCAGUCCGGAGUUAGCUGUAACCUUUGCCCUGUAUACUUACUAAGUAGCUACUGUUCCUGAGUACUGACGUUCAUCUUAGAGAAUGAUAGCAUGGCUGGUUUUGAACAUUUCCAGACAAUAUCAUUGAAUGGGGCCAAAUUACUUGGCCCCACUAAACUCCAAAUGCACUUCUAAGUCAACAGAAGGGACUGUGUGCUGGUCAACAACCAGAAGGAACAGAGCUUCAUCUUCACCUUCAUCAUCAUCAUCAUCAUAUAUGUAUGUGCUAAAGCAAUCAUGAAUGAAUGAAUUAGUUGGGUCUAGAGACAUGUUAGGAGAGCAUAUCAACAGGCCAUAGGACAGUUUCACUAAAUAGAACUAAAAGACACUGGUUUAGGGGCUAGAGAGAUGGCUCAGUGGUCAAGAACACUCACUGACCAUGCUUCCAAAGGACCCAGGUUCAAUUCCCAGCACCCACAUGGCAACUCACAACUGCCUAUAACUCCAGUUCCAGGGGAUCCAACACUACCACACAGUCAUACAUGCAGAGGAAACAACCAUGCCCAAUAAACUAAAAAUAAAAGAUGCUAGUUUGGGGGUGGGGGUAGAAAACGAGUGUUAUUAGAAUCAAAAAGACACAAGGUUAAAUUCUAGAAUUUAGCAAGUGAUUGAACCAACCUGGACUCAGUAUGGCAGUGAGGAAAAGGCAAUGAGAACUCACAGAUACAGCCAAGUCCGCACACUUCUCUUGCACACUCACAUCCCCUAUCCCAGAAUCAUUGCAGGGAGCACCGUUCCAGGGAGCACCAUUCCAGGGAGCACCAUCUUCCGUGCUUGGAUUCUGGCUUGUGUAACUCAGCUGUCUGCCACCAGAGGGCAGCAGGCAUAUGCCCAGCUGCAGUGCUUGAAGCCUUCCUGGCAGAUUGUACCACUUCGGAAGGCAAGACUGCCUGCCCGGGAAAGCCUGGAAAGACUAGAAGACUCUUGGCUUUAAGAUCCCUGCUUAAUGUAGCCCGUGGUCCAACCAGGCCCCAAGUCUAAGGACUUACAGCAAUGCAUGCUCAGUGUCCUGGGAGUGGUAAGUUAAUAUGAAGGGUGACAUCACACUCAGAAGUCACUCCAACUGUACAUGCACAGUUGACUCCAAGAAGCUUCUGGAAAGUGAAACUUGAGAGUCAAGCAGUACAAAGCGAUCAGUAUGAUGCUAUGUCUCCUAUUCUCUUUGACCAACUGGAGGAUCAGAUGACCCAGAUUUACGUGAGGACAGUUGGCCUCUUGGAACGCACGAUGCUGAAAACAAGAAAUACUGGAGAGAGUGAGAGUGUUACUGCAACCGUUGCUGAAAUUUGAAUGUGGAAUGUGGACUAGCGAAUUAUAUCAAAGCAGAUUUAAAACUCCUUAUCUUGAUCACUGUAUUUAGGACAUGUGAAAGCUGUCCUUUGGAAACACACUGGGUUGGGAAUAAAAAGGUAGGGAUGGAGUUUAGACACAUACAAAUAGAUUCAUAGACUAACAAGGCAAGUCAGCCAACGUGUAAAGAGAUGAUGGGUUUGGUCAGGGGUACAGAGGGAGCCCCUCACUUCUUCCCUCAAGUUUUCUGUAAGUUUAACAUUAUAACAAAAGACAAAAUUACAACCUCAGAUCCCAAGAACUUCAGGAAAAUUGUGAUGAUAACAAAUAGAUGUAUAAUUAUACAU